rnacentral:rRNA from 1 species
UACAGAGGUCUCAAGCGUUGUUCGGAUUCAUUGGGCGUAAAGGGUGCGUAGGUGGCGCGGUAAGUCGGGUGUGAAAUCUCGGAGCUUAACUCCGAAAUUGCAUUCGAUACUGCCGUGCUCGAGGACUGGAGAGGAGACUGGAAUUCAUGGUGUAGCAGUGAAAUGCGUAGAGAUCAUGAGGAAGACCAGUGGCGAAGGCAGCUCGCUGGGACGGUACUGACGCUGAGACGCGAAAGCGUGGGGAGCAAACAGG